rfam:Acidobacteria bacterium RIFCSPLOWO2_02_FTLL_61_28 rifcsplowo2_02_scaffold_3152, whole genome shotgun sequence.
CCCACGGCUUGCGCCGUGGGCUAGAAUCUACCGCCCCUCCGGGGCU